rnacentral:lncRNA from 1 species
GGGAAAGUUACUCCAGCUGCCAGGCCAGGCCAUUCUGGGUAAUGGAUGGCGUCUCCUUAAUGCUCUCUGGGAGACGGACCUCUCUUUAAUCUGCUGCAGUGUCAUUAAGAGAGAAAACGUUUGCUCCAUGGGGCUCCUGAUGGUCUUCAGAAACUGCAAGUUAAACACCAACCAGGAAGGGCUGCUUGGGCCUUAACCCUCCCCUUCCCGGCACAGGCCCAGGCCUCAGGCUGAUGGGGCCGCAGAUCUCCGGCCUGGACUCUCAGGAGCCCUGGGGUCUCCUUUGCGGGCUCUUCUCAGCCUGGAGAUCAGGGAACAAAAAUUGUAUUUACGCUCCUGGCGAGCAGCUGAUUUUCCUGAUCGCCCACCGGCUGCACACGGCUCCACCGCAGGCCUACACCGCAUCAGAAGAGAACAUUGAGGUUCGCAGACGUGAAGCUCCUGGCCGAGGUCACUAGGCUGGGAAGUGGUGGAGCUGAGAUUUGAACUCAGGUUAUUUGUGUGAUGUCAACCCUCCCCGCCCCACCCACCCCUCCCAGGUUUGGGGCCCCUCCUGCACACUCCUGUGUGUCCCCUGCACAAGCAUCCGCCUGACUGUUUCUCCAUCCCCCGCAUUGGGCCUGGGCUGUGAGCUCCCCACAGCCACCCUGGGUCACUCCUGCCUCUGAUCCCCAGACCCUGCACAGGGCCAGGUAUAUGGUAGACACUUGGCUAGAAACAGUGCCCAAGGAGUGGGGGCCGCAGCCCUGCUGACUUCUGA